AUUGAACGCUGGCGGCAGGCCUAACACAUGCAAGUCGAGCGGAUGAAGGGGGCUUGCUCCUGGAUUCAGCGGCGGACGGGUGAGUAAUGCCUAGGAAUCUGCCUGGUAGUGGGGGAUAACGUCCGGAAAGGGGCCCUAAUCCCGCAUCCGUCCUGAUGGUGAAAGUGGUGGAUCUUCAGACCUCACGCUAUCUGCUGUGCCUGAGUCGGAUUAGCUAGUUGGUUGGGUAAAGGCCUACCAAGGCGACGAUCCGUAACUGAUCUGAGAGGAUGAUCAGUCACACUGGAACUGAGACACGGUCCAGACUCCUACGGGAGGCAGCAGUAGGGAAUAUUGGGCAAUGGGCGAAAGCCUGAUCCAGCAAUGCCGCGUGUGUGAAGAAGGUCUUCGGAUUGUAAAGCACUUUAAGUUGGGAGGAAGGGCAGUAAGUUAAUACCUUGCUGUUUUGACGUUACCAACAGAAUAAGCACCGGCUAACUUCGUG
rnacentral:rRNA from 1 species